AUACGGAGGAUCCGAGCGUUAUCCGGAUUUAUUGGGUUUAAAGGGUGCGCAGGCGGCCAUUUAAGUCAGCGGUUAAAUCGUGGGGCUCAACCCCAUUCUGCCGUUGAUACUGGGUGGCUUGAUUGCGGUCGAGGUUGGCGGAAUUCGUUGUGUAGCGGUGAAAUGCAUAGAUAUGACGAAGAACACCGAUUGCGUAGGCAGCUGACCAGACCGCAAAUGACGCUCAUGCACGUAAGUGCGGGGAUCGAACAGGAUUAGAUACCCUGGUAGUCCGCACAGUAAACGAUGAAUACUUGUUUUCGGCGAUAUAAUGUCGGAGGCAAAGCGAAAGCGAUAAGUAUUCCACCUGGGGAGUACGCCGGCAACGGUGAAACUCAAAUGAAUUGACGGGG
rnacentral:rRNA from 1 species